GCCUGCGCCGCCGCGGGGCUGCUGCUGGUUGGUCCGCACGUGGAACCUCUCCUGGUCCUGUUGACCCGGGCCCCUCGGAACCUCCAGCUUGGUCCGGUCCGGGACUGGACGCCCGCCAUGGCGGCUACUGUAGCGGAAACGCGCAUGUUUCUGGAGGUGCGGAGACAGUUGCAGAGCGCGCUGCUGAUCCUGGGAGAACCGAAAGAAGGAGGUAUGCCCAUGGAUAUUUCCAUAAUGCCAUCUUCACUCCAGAUGAAAACCCCCGAAGGCUGCACAGAAAUCCAGCUUCCAGCAGAGGUCAGGCUUGUACCUUCCUCUUGCCGUGGGCUACAGUUUGUUACUGGAGAUGGACUGCACCUGCGGCUGCAGGCACAAGCAGAAUUAGGCACAAAACUGAUUUCAAUGUUUAAUCAAAGCUCGCAAGCCCAAGAAUGUUGCACAUUUUAUUGCCAAUCCUGUGGUGAAGUCAUAAUAAAAGACAGGAAGCUCCUCAGGGUGCUCCCACUGCCGAGUGAGAACUGGGGAGCUAUAGUUGGAGAAUGGUGUUGUCAUCCUGACCCCUUUGCUAAUAAACCACUUCAUCCGCAAGAGAAUGACUGUUUUGUUGGAGACUCUUUCUUCUUGGUGAAUUUAAGAACCAGUUUGUGGCAGCCAAGACCUGAACUAUCCCCAGUGGAGAUGUGCUGUGUUUCUUCUGACAACCGUUGUAAAUUGGAACCAAAGGCAAAUACCAAAGUAAUUUGUAAGCGUUGCAAGGUAAUGUUGGGAGAGACCGUGUCAUCAGAAACCACCAAGUUUUACAUGACAGAGAUAAUCAUUCAGUCAUCUGAGAGGAGUUUCCCCAUCAUACCAAGGUUUCGGUUUGUCCAGAGCGUGAUCACCCAGUGUCUGGUGCAGCUGUCCUCUGCUAGAAGCACUUUUAGAUUCAGGAUUCAAGGUCAGGACGACAAAGUGUUUAUCUUGCUGUGGCUUUUAAAUUCAGACAGUUUGGUGAUUGAAUCAUUGAGAAAUUCCAAAUAUAUCAAAAAAUUCCCAUUGUUGGAAGACACAUUGAAAGCAGAUUCUAGUUCUGCCUGGAGUGCUGUCAAGGUCCUCUACCAGCCAUGCAUCAAAAGCAGGAAUGAAAAACUUGUCAGCUUGUGGGAAAGUGACAUCAGCGUCCACCCGCUAACCCUGCCCUCUGCAACCUGCUUGGAGCUGCUGUUGAUAUUAUCAAGGAGUAAUGCCAAUCUGCCUUCAUCCCUUCGCCAUAUGAAUUCCUUUCAGGUGCAGAAACUGAGCCACAGGAGCACAACAUGCCCAAGCUCACAAUGCUGAUAAGUAGAGGAACAUGAGGUGGCCUUUUUGAAGAUGUAACUAUGAAGCUGGACAUUCUCCUCCCCUGGCAGACAGCUCUCAAGCAGGAGCACACUGAGGCCAGCAGUCAGCUCAGGAGGCAUCAGUUACAAAGAAAAGAACCAGAGCUAUGGGAUAAGAGUACUGCAUUAAGGAGGAACCAAGACAGCUUUCUUUCUGAUGACACAGUGUGGGGAGUGGAAGUGGAAUGACCAUGACCAUGAGAAGCUCUGAGGGACAGAGGUAAGAGGAGGUCAUGCUACACACACGUGCACACAAAGAGCAGGUUUCUGGCGACACUGUAGUUACUGUGCUUUAAAUGGCAUCUGUCAUGAAUCACAUAAAUCUUGUCAUGGUGAAGUUCCCAAGCUCAACAGGUCUCCAUUGGAUCUUCCACAGUUGGGAAGGGAGGGCCAGCAGAGCUGAGCCAGUGCUCAAAGUGCAUUAUUCACAUCUAGUCACUGAGUAGGCCUGAGGGGUAACAUAUCCAUACCUGUGAGAGUCUACUUUGGGGCUAUAGGGCAUGAAGGGAAAGGGAAAUGAUCCUUUCUAUCUUUUUGUUGCUCCGGGUGGGUGAAUUGGUGUGUAUGAGAUACAUGCACAGAAACAAAGAGACACAGGGAUAGCAUUAAAGACAUUUAAAUUUCAUUUUAAACCAUGCUGGGAGGGCUAGACAAUUGAAGCAGGCUGUACAAAAUUAAUGUUGACCCUUGGAAGUCGUUCCACAUUAGCCUCCUGUGUCUUGUGAGUAUAAUUCCACAAUCCAUUCAGUAGCAUUCUUAGAUAAGGAUACCACAGAAUGCAGACAUGCUAUUAAUUGGUUACCAAGGAACUCUUAGUAAAACACCAAAUUUCUAGUCCUUUUUUUGUGUCUCUAAAAUCUGCUGUAAACAAGUGGUUCUGUGAACUUGUUCUUAUGUAGUAUAAAGUUACAGUAAAAUUACAGUGGAUAGACCCUGUUGAAAACUUCUGUCAGCCACUCAUUUUGACAAACCUAUAUAGGUUUCUUCAUUCAGUGAGGACUUUUAGAACAUCUACUACAUUUCAAGGAUAGUUACGGGUACUGCAGAUGGAAACAAUAAGACAAAGACCUUGCCCUCAUGAAGCUUACAUUCUCAUGGAGGAAGCAGACAAAAAAGAAGUACUAUGUUUUAUCAUAAAAUUAUUAUAUAUAAUUUUUACAAAGCACAGUAAGACAAAGAUGGGUUAAGAAAGAUUAGGUGCUAUUUCAGAUAGGGAUGGCUCAAUUGAGCUUAAAGUGUAUGUAUACUGUUGGUACCAUAUAUGGUUAAAAUAAUCCAAUUCCAUCAAGAGCUGCAUUGUUAAAGGCCAACAGAUCACAUACAAACUGCAGCAUUGCAUCAUUUUGCCAAAAGUAGCUUGACUAAACAAGGAUCCACCAAUAUUAGCAAAGCAUGUUUGAUUCCAUAGAUACCAGAAAAGAGAACCUUAUUAGACCCAGACAUGCUGAUGUAACUGGCCUUGUGCAGGCAUUUUGGUAAUUAAGUCUGCCCAGUAGCCACUGUUGAAAAAAGUGCUGACAGUAUUAAAUAGUUUUCCUUUCGCAUGAUAGAUAAAGCCAACCUAGUUGCUGUUCCUGUACAUUUGUUUUUGCGCCUAAUGUAUAACAAAGAUUAAUUGAGAUCUGCAUUUCAUUGUUAUUCAAGAACAUAGGAAUGAUUGGUAUGUCUUAGUCUAUAGUUAGAGAAGAAUCACCAUUCACGUUACCCAUCAGAGGAGUGUGUCCCACUAGAUGCUUAUUAUAAGAGUUCUACACAUUCUUAAAUCUUAAAUAUGCAAGAACACUCAAUAUGAUUUAAUGUAACCAUUUCUCUUGGUUUGCAUUUUAAGAUGCUUUUACAUUUUAAGUACGUUUUACCUUUUAUGAUACAUUUUACAUUGUAAGAUACAUUUGAGAUUUCAUCUACUGAAUCAGAGCUCAUCAUCAAAACUUAAUCUGGGAGAAAAAGUAAGAGGGAGUUAAUGGAAAUCAGUCAUAAGAGGUAAAUCCUCCCAGUUUUAAGAAGAAUGGCAAACACAUAAUUGUUCAAAAUAACAUUUUAAAAAGCAUCUAAACCGUACUACCAUUCUUUUAAAAAUAUGUCCCUAUUUUCAUUCUGGAAUAAACUAAACCAAUUUGUUCUCAAUCCCAUUACAUAUAAAUUAUGAAACCCAUUUUCAAGGCCACACUUAUUCUAGGAUCCUUUGGUUACAAGGUACAAUAAGCAGAGUGCAGGAUUUGUGUCCUAGUUGUGUCUUUUAGUAGCCUUCCUGGGAUCUUUGGCAGCCUUUCUGGUCAGAAUGACAACUGCUAACCAGAUGACUACAUUUUCUUUAUUCACCUUUCUCCCCUGUUCUACACAGCCUGAUUAGUUUCUUUCUAUAAAUAUUUCAAUAUUGUUUUUU